CCUACGGGUGGCAGCAGUGGGGAAUAUUGCGCAAUGGGCGAAAGCCUGACGCAGCGACGCCGCGUGAGGGAUGAAGGUCUUCGGAUCGUAAACCUCUGUCAGCAGGGAAGAACGGUCACUGUGCUAAUCAGCAGUGAAUUGACGGUACCUGCAAAGGAAGCACCGGCUAGCUCCGUGCCAGCAGCCGCGGUAAUACGGAGGGUGCGAGCGUUAAUCGGAAUUACUGGGCGUAAAGCGCUCGUAGGCGGUAUGUCAAGUCAAGGGUGAAAUCCCCGCGCUCAACGUGGGAACUGACUUUGAAACUGUCAAACUGGAGUGGGUGAGAGGAUAGUGGAAUUCCAGGGGUAGGAGUGAAAGCCGUAGAUAUCUGGAGGAACAUCAGUGGCGAAGGCGACUAUCUGGCACAUAACUGACGCUGAGGAGCGAAAGCGUGGGUAGCAAACAGGAUUAGAUACCCCAGUAGUC
rnacentral:rRNA from 1 species